GUUCUUACUCAUCUGCUGGUUAGGGGACCUCACCAGAUUGUUAUUCACGUGAUGCUCCUAUAAGGCCUUAGCUAAAUUAGUUUACUGAGGACUAGGUUGUAUUAUAAAAGCACUGCUUCAAGCUGAGAUAUUCAUACCGAUUCUAUUCGUACGUCUAAGAAAUGGAAUUUUUGAAACGCAGUCUGCUUUUCCUCGCGGCUCUGGCGAUGGCAACUUUGGCUGUCAUCCAGGCUAUUCCUGACCCUGAUCCUCAACUCCGGCCUAUCGGCAGAAAAUGAAUGCUCCUGACUGUUUGGAUUUGCAGGUAUGGAAAAGGACCGAAUAUGCUUCUUCUUCAAAAAUAAAAAUGGUUCUACAGAGAUAAACGAUAACUUCUAAAAGAUUUGUAAACUGUUAUUCAAUGUCAUGUUAACCAAAAUUUAAAAUUUGUUUUCCUAUUUGACAAGUGUUUCCAAAAUAUGCAAU